rnacentral:lncRNA from 1 species
UGGAUUGAAAUAAAGCUACUUGAAGUGAAUCGUCAAGAGAGGUCAAGACUCGGCGAGACCGGGCAAAAUUGGGCUUUCUUAGUCUUUGCUCUGUUCUCGUUACACGACAAUGAGCAAAGAGGGGCAGCUGUAGAAGCCCAAAUUUGCCCGGCUCACCAGAGAAAAUAAAACCAAUUAAACCCAAACAACCUAAAUACAAGCCCAAAUAAAAAAAAAACUAGCCCAAUACCCAAAAACAAAAACAUGAAAAAACCCUAGCUCCUAACCCUAGCCGCCGCACCCUAUGUCUGUCGCCUCACCUGCCACCGCCACCAACUCUGCCCACUUGCCACUUCUGCCACCGUCCCAUCACCCCACUUGCCUGCAAAGAAGAAAAUCACGCAAAGAAGGACAAAACAGUAGUAGAAACAAUAGAAAAAUUGUAAAAUGGCUAUUUAAAAGCCAUUCAAACAGAUCUGUUAGGGGGAUUUUUUUU